UAAUACAGAGGGUGCAAACGUUGCUCGGAAUUAUUGGGCGUAAAGCGCGUGUAGGCGGCUUGUUAAGUCGGUUGUGAAAACCCAUGGCUCAACCAUGGAAGGGCGUCCGAAACUGGCAAGCUAGAGUCCCGACGAGGAUGGCGGAAUUCCCAGUGUAGAGGUGAAAUUCGUAGAUAUUGGGAGGAACACCGGUGGCGAAGGCGGCCAUCUGGGAGGGCACUGACGCUGAGACGCGAAAGCGUGGGGAGCAAACAGGAUUAGAUACCCUGGUAGUCCACGCUGUAAACGAUGAGCACUAGAUGUUGCGGGUAUUGACCCCUGCAGUGUCGACGCUAACGCAUUAAGUGCUCCGCCUGGGGAGUACGGCCGCAAGGCUA
rnacentral:rRNA from 1 species